rnacentral:tRNA from 1 species
GCUUCCGUGGCGCAGUUGGCAGCGCGCGUCCUUGGUAAGGACGAGGUCACGAGUUCGAAUCUCGUCGGAAGCUCCA